rnacentral:rRNA from 1 species
UAGGGAAUCUCCCGCAAUGGACGCAAGUCUGACGGAGCAACGCCGCGUGAGUGAGGAAGGCUUUCGGGUCGUAAAGCUCUGUUGCCCUAGACGAACGCUUGGUGGAGUAACUGCCAUCAGGGUGACGGUAUAGGAGAAGAAAGCCCCGGCUAACUACGUGCCAGCAGCCGCGGUAAUACGUAGGGGGCAAGCGUUGUCCGGAAUUAUUGGGCGUAAAGCGCGCGCAGGCGGUCGCUUAAGUCUUCUGUCUAAAGCCAAGGCUCAACCUUGGUGCGCAGAGGAAACUGGGUAACUGGAGUGCAGGAGAGGGAAGUGGAAUUCCACGUGUAGCGGUGAAAUGCGUAGAGAUGUGGAGGAACACCAGUGGCGAAGGCGACUUCCUGGCCUGUAACUGACGCUGAGGCGCGAAAGCGUGGGGAGCAAACAG